GGUACGGUGGCUUAGUGGUUAGCACUCGCACCUCCGGGGUUGUUGGUUCGAUUCCUGCCUCCACCC